AUGUUAAUAAAUUGCUCUUAUAUUCUCGCGAGUUUCAAUAAAAUAAAAUAAAAUCUACGGAUAUAUCAGCAGCAAAUGUACCUGCAUGCAUUCCGCGCAUAUGCAAAUCCAAAACACUUCAGCGCGAGAAAUAAGAUGGGCGUAACUCUAAAUGGAUCAUGCACGCUGUCUUUGCAACAAUAACUCAUCUAUUCACAACGGGACGCCGUUUGAGCGCGAGCUGCUUGAGUUUCCGCACACGUCCACCAGACGCGCCGGGCUCGCUCGCGCUGCAUGGGGACCCACGACUGACGCGAUCCCAGUCCUCGGAGUAGCAGCACUGGAUACUUGGCAGAAAUAAGGAGAACGCGUUGUGCACCGAUGCAGUGUCAGAUCACUCAAGCCAAAUGUACUUUUGCACAGUUACGUGGAGGCGUUAUUCUUGUUCCCACCAAAUGCACUGCGAUAAAGGCGACUAUCUUGGUCUUCUGUGGAAUAGAUGUUGUGCUGUAAUGGGUCAACCCAAGUUUGGCAUUCUCAUAUGGAAGGUCGCCAGUGUCCACUAAAAGGUGGAGACCGAGAUGCUGCAAGUGAACGAUAAAACAUGCAAUCAAAUGACCACAGAUCUCAGAAGGCGUAAGACGAGCGAAGAGUGGGAGUUGUGAUGGUGGUGGAGAAGUCAACCCAGAGCAGGUGAACGCAGCUGCGGACCGCCAUGGGCUCUCUUCUAUCAGUCCCAACUCUCCGUCUUCGGGCCUCUGAGAAAUGGCAGGGGCCAGCCAGGGAGCGUCGGAGUGGGCUGGUGAGGCGGCUCGCUUUCCCCGCUAGCUACCGGCACCUCGGCAGCGAGGAGGGAGAGAAAUCAAUACUGAGGAGAGAUGCUGCCAGGGGUCGCCAAACACUGCCUUCAGCCAUGGAGCCAUGGGAGCCAGUGUACUCAACUUUCUCUUCCUCAACCCAAUCUCAGUCAACUCGCAUCAGCUAAAGAAUGGGCCAAGAGCCUUGCUGUUCUUCAUGCAACAGCGAGUGUAUGUGUGGUUCUGCCAGAGGGCCUUUGCAGACCCAGCAUCACUUGAUAAAACUAGGAGAAUGAGUAGAAAAAGAAUGUCAAAGGCCUUUUUUCCCCCGUCUUUGAUUCCUUUUUCACCAUGAGUGCACAUUCCCCCUGACUGUUUGAAUGAGUGCUUCACGGAGAUCUCUUUUACGCUAAAUCAAGAGGUCUUUCUUUUUUAAUGGUCCUCCUCAUAAGUAUACACAAAGUGCUCUACAUCAGAUGGGAUGAGUGAACAGGUUGAACCCUUUUUUAACCUUUUCCAGAUGAAUUUUUUUUAAUAAUUACCAACGUUCGAGAGCUUGGAAAAGGACUUGGCCUUGAUUUGUAGAGAAGGGCUUGGCACUCACCUUUGCUGGGUACUUACAACUCUUUUCACCCCUGUCCAUGGCAUUUGAUGGGCAUUAACAAUAUUGCAGACCAAGGGGAGGACAGUGCAAGUCACUGAUAGAGCACAGAGGUCGAAAAUCUCCUAAUAAGCCCUCGUGAACAUCCUACUUGGGAUGUGGAAGACUCUGAAAUGUCAAUGAAGCAAUAUGCGGACAACUCAAAAAUGGAUGAAGCAAGGCUGCAUUGAAGGGUUUCAUUGCAUGCUGGUUGCACUGGAAAUCGAGGGACCCUUUCAACAAAGAAGUGAAUUUGGUUCUUUAAGAGCGCAAGAGAUGCCAAAAAAAGCUGAAUGAAUCAUGCCUUGAACCCAGGACCAUCACAUACCAUUCAGAGGAAUAUUUAUUUUUCUUUCUUUCUUUCUUCAUUUAUUGACUGCAUAUAAUUGCUUUUUAGUUAGAUUUUUAUGUUUGUUUGUUUUUUUUGUUAGACCUCAUCCAUAAGGUAAGUAUUUUUGGACAGUUAAAGGGUAAGUUAAUUAUUGAAUUCCAUUUUUUUAAACAUACAAUUUAAUGAUAGCGAGACUGCUUAAAAAUGCAACUUAAAAAUGGUAAUUAUUUACUUGUAUUUUAUCUUGACCUUGAUAUGCAUUGAUAAGAAAAUGACAAUAAUAUCAACAUAGUCUCAUGAAAACUUGUAAUAAUUGCGAUAAUGAGAUGGUGAAAUCGUAAGAUAUGGUACCACUUGGCUCAUAUGAAAAGGUACAACUUUUAGACCAAUCAAUUAUAUACGAUUCCUUCGUCUUUUAUCAAACCCCCAAUGUUUUCUUUCUUCCGUGGUAUACACAUUUUCUUUUUUUUCUAUUAAAACCAUGGUUAGGUUUAGAGUUUGGGGAAGGGAUUAGACUUGAUGGUUAGGUUUAGAUUUGGGAUUAAAUGUAGGAAAAAUCAUAUAUUAUCAUUGUUCAUUGUUCAUUUUUUUUCUCUAUAGAAGUAAAAGUCGUACUUUUUUGUAUGAGGCAACUCGUACGAUUUAUUACGCCAUCUCCUACUAUUAUUACCACUUGUCAUGAGAUUGCAUUGAUAAUGCUGAAUUCAACGUACUUUUGUUUACUGUUGUAAACUAUUGCUGCCUUACUGCCUUGUAAUGAAUAAUAUAAAAGUGCUUUAAUAAAUGCUAA